UGAGGAAUAUUGCGCAAUGGGCGAAAGCCUGACGCAGCAACGCCGCGUGCGGGAUGAAGCUUUUCGGAGUGUAAACCGCUGUUAGCAGGGAAGAAUAAGGUUACUUUGAACAAGGGUAAUCGAUGACGGUACCUGCAGAGGAAGCCCCGGCUAACUCCGUGCCAGCAGCCGCGGUAACACGGGGGGGGCGAGCGUUGUCCGGAAUUAUUGGGCGUAAAGGGCGCGUAGGCGGGCUAAUCAGUCAGAGGUGAAAGUUUGCGGCUUAACCGUAAAAUUGCCUUUGAUACUGUUAGUCUUGAGUUCGGAAGAGGGAAGUGGAAUUCCUGGUGUAGCGGUGAAAUGCGUAGAUAUCAGGAAGAACACCGGUGGCGAAGGCGGCUUCCUGGUCCGAGACUGACGCUGAGGCGCGAAAGUGUGGGGAGCGAACA
rnacentral:rRNA from 1 species